AGUCAAGAGACGCUUGGCAAUAUGGCGUACAGAAGAAGCAAAGUUCUUCUGGAAUUAAGAGAGAUUCCUAGGUGUCUUGAUAAAUGUCUGCAAAUUCUUUUGGCAUUUGGGAUGGCGUUCAAUGCUAUUGAAUCUCUACAGUUGUGAUGCUGUCUCUUAGAGCCAGGAGGUCCUUGGAACCUUGGCUUCUUAUGCUCUGAUUGCAUCUGCUA
rnacentral:misc_RNA from 1 species